GUUGCCUACGGGGCGCAGCAGUGGGGAAUAUUGGGCAAUGGGCGCAAGCCUGACCCAGCAAUGCCGCGUGAGGGAAGAAGGCCCUCGGGUUGUAAACUUCUUUUAUCAGGGACGAAGGAUGUGACGGUACCUGAUGAAUAAGCUCCGGCUAACCACGUGCCAGCAGCCGCGGUAAUACGUAGGGGGCGAGCGUUGUCCGGAAUCACUGGGCGUAAAGGGCGCGUAGGCGGUAAUAUAAGUCAGAUGUGAAAGGUGGGGGCUCAACCCCUAGAGUGCAACUGAUACUGUAUAACUUGAGUG
rnacentral:rRNA from 1 species